GGUUGGGUCCCGUGCAAUCGGAGCCUGUGAACCCCGUCAGGUCCGGAAGGAAGCAGCGGUAAGCGGGAUUCCCGGUGUGCCGCGGGUUCGCCCGGCCCCU
rnacentral:SRP_RNA from 1 species